AGCGAACGCUGGCGGCAGGCCUAACACAUGCAAGUCGAACGAAGUCUUCGGACUUAGUGGCGGACGGGUGAGUAACACGUGGGAACGUGCCUUUAGGUUCGGAAUAACUCAGGGAAACUUGUGCUAAUACCGAAUGUGCCCUUCGGGGGAAAGAUUUAUCGCCUUUAGAGCGGCCCGCGUCUGAUUAGCUAGUUGGCGAGGUAAAGGCUCACCAAGGCUACGAUCAGUAGCUGGUCUGAGAGGAUGACCAGCCACAUUGGGACUGAGACACGGCCCAAACUCCUACGGGAGGCUGCAGUCGAGAUUCUUCGGCAAUGGGCGCAAGCCUGACCGAGCGACGCCGCGUGGAGGAAGAAGGCCCUCGGGUUGUAAACUCCUGUUGGGGGGGACCAUAAUGAGGAAUCCCCUGAGGAAGCACGGGCUAAGUUCGUGCCAGCAGCCGCUGUAACAC
rnacentral:rRNA from 1 species